GCCUGUUCCUGAUCUGUAUGUCUUUGUGUGUGUCUGCUUAGUGUUAAGCAUCUGCAUUAGUUCAGGAAGGACUUUAUACACAUAGAAAGUAGAGGAAGAAUGACAAUUUCAAACACAAGGUUCCAGCAGCUUGUUUGUCUUUGCCUUUAUUGCCUGUAGUACUUUUCAUGUAAUGAAUGGCAAAAUUCACACAGCUGGGAAAACAGGAGGAAAAAAGAUUCCAGAUGGACUUGAAUCUGCAAGGUCAGAGUAUUUUGAUCUUACUCCAAUAGAUCACUUAAACAUGCUGAACUUGAAACGUGUAGUCACAUGAGAAGGCAGUAAGGAUGUCCAUUAGCUAAAAUUUCAGCAUGUACUAAGUGUUCUUUUGGAGUGGCGUCAGAAUGGCUUGGAAUCUGUAUCUGAUUUCACAUAGCUGCUGGAGCUUUCACUUCAACAUGUCCUGACUUUAAUAACUUUUAAGCUGUACAGCUGUAUUGUUCCUCUUCAUUGGGAGGAGGCACAUUGGCAGGUAGGGCAGCAAUCUGAUGCAUAUUCACCCGAGUACAAGAUGACCCCAAAUUAAAGACACCCCCCAAUUAUUAGGUUCUAGGCAU